CUUGGUUCAGGACGAACGCUGGCGGCGUGCCUAAUACAUGCAAGUCGAACGGUCUUUCUAUGGAAGCUUGCUUCCACUGAGAAGAUAGUGGCGAACGGGUGAGUAACACGUGGGUAACCUGCCCAUAAGAGGGGGAUAACAUCCGGAAACGGGUGCUAAUACCGCAUAGUUUUCUUGAUCGCAUGAUUGAGAAAGGAAAGACGGCCUUUGUGCUGUCGCUUAUGGAUGGACCCGCGGCGUAUUAGUUAGUUGGUGAGGUAAUGGCUCACCAAGACGAUGAUACGUAGCCGACCUGAGAGGGUGAUCGGCCACAUUGGGACUGAGACACGGCCCAAACUCCUACGGGAGGCAGCAGUAGGGAAUCUUCCGCAAUGGACGAAAGUCUGACGGAGCAACGCCGCGUGAGUGAAGAAAGGGUUUUCGGAUCGUAAAACUCUGUUGUCAGAGAAGAACAAGUUGGGGAGUAACUGCUCCAGCCUUGACGGUAUCUGACCAGAAAGCCACGGCUAACUACGUGCCAGCAGCCGC
rnacentral:rRNA from 1 species